AACGUUAUUGGACAAUUUAGAUCUGUACCUGUAUUGCCGAAGUUUGGGGCAACAUGAAAAUCUUAAUGAACGAUAUUCAUUACAGAUUUUAUUUUUAAGAUACUGACCAAUAAAUUUGGUAAGGUUACAGAGGGAAAACAGGGCCUUAUGCUGGAUUGACCCUGCAAAGGGGAAUAACUUUUGAAAAAUUUAAUGUGAAAGUCGUCUAUUUUUUUUUUUACAUAUGUUUUUUUUUAACCUCAAGGACAAAAAGUAUACACUUGGAACACAAACAAAAACAGAUGAGUCCAUGCCAAGCUAAAGAUUAAUGCAGAAGAUAAAAGAGAACUGGAGAAGAAUGAAUUGAUGUUAACAUACUCAACAUUAAAUUUGGCUUAAAUCUAAA